AGCCAAUAAGAGAAUGGAAACUAUGUAAGACAACAAGAUUCGUAAAGUGGAGUGAUGAUGUUAUGUAAGGAUAAGACUGUAUAAAUGCCAAGUACUAAGAAUGAAGAGUUGGUUCUUCCAUGUAAUUGCUCAGCUUUGUUACUCUCUGUAAUAAAGUAUUUUUGAAUUCACAAACUCCGGUAUCUGAGAAGUAUUUGAUUCAAUAUUUUCCACAACACUGUCCACUCCGCGGACCUGGAGUGGGCCCAUUCCUCCAGGCUUGCCUGCCACCCGGGCUCCAAUUGGACCCUGGCCUUUGUGUGACAAUGCUUUUGGUGGCCUACUAUGGUUCCAGAUGUCGCAGCGUUUGUCGCCGCUUGCACGGUCUGUGCUCAGAACAAGACUCCUCGGCAAGCUCCAGCUGGUCUUAUUUAAACACUGCCUGUCCCUCACCAUCCCUGGUCCCACAUAUCCCUGGAUUGUGUCACGGGUCUCCCCCCAUCUGAGGGCAACACUGCCAUCCUGACUGUGGUCGACCGGUUUUCCAAAGCCAACCACUUCAUUCUUCUUCCCAAACUACCCUUGCCCAAGAAGAUGGCCCAGCUCAUGGUGCAGGACGUCUUCCGGAUCCCUGGACUGCCCACGUGGACAUGGUCUCCAACCGAGGUCCUCAGUUCUGGAAGGCCUUCUGCACCCUCAUUGGGUCAUCGGCCAGCCUGUCCUCUGGGUUCCACACCCAGUCCAACGGCCAGUCGGGGGGGGUGCCAACCAAGACCUCGAGACUACUCUGCGCUGCCUGGUCUCCGCCAACCCCACCACCUGGAGCCAGCAGCUUGUCUGGGUGGAAUACACCCGCAACACCCUUCUCUGCUCUGCCACGGGCCUAUCGCCCUUGGAGUGUUCCCUGGGGUAUCAGCUCCCGCUCUUCCCCGAGUAGGAAGAAGAGGUCGGCAUACCUUCUGCCCAGAUGUUUUCCCGCCGCUGUCGUCAUACCUGGAGGAGAGCCCGGUCAGCCCUCCUCAAGACCACCUGCAGGUAUUCAUGACAAGCGGAUUGCCAUCGGACCCGGGCUCCCUGGUAUCAUCUCGGGCAGAAGGGACAUCCUGGACCCAGGCCUCAUUUCGGAUUUCCAACGCCGACACCCCGGUCAACCAGGUAUGCAACCAGGUAUGCGCCCUAGGGGGGGUACUGUCACACCCUGAUCUGUUUCACCUGUCUUUGUGAUUGUCUCCACCCCCCUCCAGGUGUCACCCAUCUUCCCCAUUAUCCCCUGUGUAUUUAUACCUGUGUACUUUGUUUGUCUGUUGCCAGUUCGUUUUGUUUCUACAAGCCUACCAGUGUUUUCCCCUCCGUUCCUGUCUCUUGAUUGUUCCUGUUUUCUAGUUUUCCCGGUGUUGACCUUAUCUGCCUGCCCUGACCCUGAGUCUGCCUGCCGUCCUGUACCUUUGCCCCCCUAAUUUGGAUUACUGACCUCUGCUGACCCUGAGCCUGCCUGCCUUCCUGUACCUUUGCACAACCUUACUGGAUUACUGGUGAUGUAAAUGCACCUUCAAGAGCGAGGUAAUUGAUAUUACAGAACAAUGGUUUAGAAUCUGAAGGGUUGGCCCAAACAAUUUGGCUGGGAUUCAUUCUAGUGCUGUGAAAGCGUCUUGCCCGCUGCGCACUGAACUUCCUCCAAUGCACCUUUGAAAUUUCCCUGAUGGCACACAGGCUCUGCAUCAUUUCACAUGGGUACAUUUCUGUUUUCAAAUGUCAAGGAUCUAGGCUUACUGUACAGCAGCAUCUUGUACGCACUGCCAAUCUAGACUUAAAGGGGCAGUUUGGGAUUUUGCUUCAGCCCAGCGGCAACCCCGAUACUUAAACUGGGGGAUGGGACUGUAUACUGUAAGUGUAACAGAUUUCAAAUGUAGAGUAAUGGAUACAAGGGCUGACAGUCAAUGAGAGCAACAUGACAGCUUUUGCCAUAUUCUGAAGCUAUACAUUGUUUGUUUACGAAGACAUUGUUAAGCCGAUCAUAACCCCCCCAAAAAUGUUUUUUACUCUGUUGUUUUUAAAUCAAAAAUCAAAUCAAACUUUGUCACAUGCACCAAAUACAACAAGUGUAGACCUUACCAUGUAAGUAAGCAUUUCAUGACAAAUAAAAUUUGAUUUGAUUUUUGAUUUAUAAACAAAGAAGUAUUUAAAAAAAAAAAAACAUUUUUACAAUAAAGCACACGUAGCCUACAUAUUAAUACAUACACACAAACAAUCUUGGUCAAAUAAGAGUUAGUGAGGACAAGGACACAGCAGGCAAGGUCAGAGUUUCUCAAGCUAUUUGUGCCAGGGACCUGAACGCUAUCCCGCUGGGCACAAACUGGUUAUAUCAACAUUGUUUCCACAUCAGUUCAACAAACAUUUUAUGUGAUAAUGUUGAAUCUACAUAGAAAUCUGAUUGGAUUUGCAAAAAGUCAUCCACAUAAGGACUUUCAUUUAUUUUCUUUCAUUUUUUUCACGCAACUUUUUACUUUUAGGCUACUACCAGAUCUGUGUUGUUUUGCCAACUAUGUUCAGAGGUAGUCAUAGAGAAUGAAUAGGCAAAAUGUGGUUUAGGGGGUAUGACUUUGAAAUUCCACAGUAAAUUAAAGUAUUUUUACUAAUGAAUAUGCCUUAGAUAUGCUUUAAUGAGAUUUGGACUAAUGGCUUACUUUAUCCACACCUUACCUCAUUAUUCCAAUAUAGCUUUUGUUUAGGAUCCACUGCUGGAUUCCUGCCAGCCUGCCACUGUGAAAUGAACGCUAUUGUACCAAUUAUAAAAUGGAUAACAAACAACCUUUGAAUAUAGCCUAGCGGUUAAGAGUGUUGGGCUAGUAACUGAAAAGGCCGCUGGUUUGAAUCCCCUAGCCAACUAGGUAAUAAAAAUGUUGGGUGAAAAAAAUCUGAAGUUGCCUUACGUUGACACCUUUUUGCAAAUCCAAUCAGUUUCCCACAUUGUUUCAACGUCAUCAGAUUACAAUUUUUGGUUGAAAUUACAUGCGAACAACUUUAAUGCAAAAAGUUUUUGCCCAGUGGGAGGUGCUUUUAUAGGCUUCCCUUAUUAUGGACUGACCCACUGGAAAAUAUACAGGGUCGGAUUCACUAGGCACGAAACUGAAAAAAACUGUUUGAAACUGGGAGGUACUAUAUGAGCUCGUUUUGCUACAGUGUGCCCUAAUGAAUAUGACCCAGGUUUGCUUUAUAUUUUCUUUAGCUCAGUGUAGCCUAGCCUGAUGCAUUAGCCUUGCAGCGCCACAAUCCCAUUAGGGAGCUUGAUAUACCAGUCUUCCAUCUACAAAUCUAGCUUGGCCGAGAGCCUCUUAGCUUCACCCGGGGAGACAUCCAGUCCAGGAAAAACAACAUUGAGACUGUUUAAGGAAUAAGGACAGACAUGGAGCUCAAUCUGGCCAUGGCCCAGUAAGUGCAUCUCAGUUCAAGGUGAAAAGGCCUACGUUACAGCUUUGACGUGGAUUACGACAUGUUGUGCAAUUUACAGUCAAAUCAAUGUCAGAAUGUUUUGUAUAGCAUAUGAGGUCCCUAGCUUGGGUAUCUAGCCUACCUGACUGUUUCAGCAUUCAGACACAUUACAUUGUCUUGACAGCAGCUAAUGGGGCUCCAUAAUAAAUACAAAUACCAAUUCCAGAAAACAACUUCAAAAUGUGUGUGUGCCCACCGGAUGUAAAUGACUAUCAACAUUGUUGUUCUAUGGCUGGCCUAGGUUGUAUUCAUUAGGGCAUACUGUAGUUGACGUAGGAAAGUGUUUUACAACAGAAAAUGAAAACAAGCCUUUCUUAUUGGACAAGUUCAGGCAGUCCCUCCCUGUUUCAAUCUGUUUUGUUCCCUUUGGUGCCCAAUGAAAAUGAACCAGGCUGGUUGUGAAAGGCCUGGCAUUCACUCACCUAAUUGACUUCUCUGUUAUGUUAAGAUGUUCUGUUCUGAGAAGAUUUGCGGGCAUCAAGCUGGGAACCCCUUUAAGGACAAUUGCUUUCGAUGUGAAAUGCUUACAUGGCAGUAAUGAAUGUCCUCUGGCAUAAUCCAUGGACCACUGGUUAUGGACGAUUCCUUCAUAGUGAUUGGUUGAUCAGCAGCUCCAUGGUUCCACAGUGAAAGACUGUGAAGAAUUAACCACAGGAUGAGAAUCACAUACUGAGGGACUUUACCAGACAAAUUAGCUUGGUCUGAGGGGCUUUGUGUUUUCUAUUGAUUCAAUUGCUGUGCUGUCAUGACAGUCUUGACAGCUUAUAAAUAGAAUCAGUAGAAAGAAUGAGAUGGGGUGGUACAGCCUCAUUAAAUAGUAUUUUCAGUCUAUCAUGGGUACUAGAUUGAGUUUUAUUUGUUUUAAUGAAUUCCAUUUCAGAUUAAUUAAAGCAUUUGGGGAGUUGUAUGAUCAUUUGAAUUGAGGAGAGAGUGUCUAGGUCGGCAUUACCUUGAAUAAUGUUCAGGACAAGCUGACAUGAGGGUAUAUACAGGGACUAUAGGCUAGGGUACCAUACGUUUUUAUCAAUUCACAACCCUUGGGGCCUGGGGAAACCUGUCUGACAUAAUUCCUGUUCUAAAGCUGCUCCAAGUCACCUGACUGGAACAUUAGUGAAGCCUCUGUGUCCAACCUCUUAUCAGUUCAAGUGCUUUCAUGAUCGAGUCCUUCCUAAUUACUGACACCAACUCGGGAGUCCCUCCUGUUUAAUGACCUCUUUUAGUAGGCCUACUGCAGAGACUCAGCACCAAGGAGCUUCAGAACAGAGGACAGCGCUCCCCCAACCACCUGCCUGCCAACAUGGGACAGACGCACCACACGGAGCAGAAUGACCCAGAGAUCGAUGUCAAGGCGCUCCAGGACAUGUACAAAAAGUUUGUGACGGAGUGCCCGAGCGGUGUUUUAUUUAUCCACGAGUUCAAGCGUUUUUUUGGCGUCGACCCAACUGGGGAAGUCUCUGAGUAUGCGGAGAGUAUGUUUCGAGCUUUUGACAAGAAUGGGGUGAGAUAGCCUAUUGUAUGCUGUAUGUUUCUGAGUUUAUAGUUUUCUAUAUCCUUGCAAAUGAACACGGGCACCGUUUUUCUAAGUUUAGGGAAAAAAACGAUUGUUUUCAAUUUGUCUAUGUCUUUUCAGGAUAACACCAUUGAUUUUCUGGAGUUUGUGGCAGCCUUGAAUCUGGUUUUCCGGGGGGACUUGGAGCACAAAUUACGCUGGUCAUUUAAAGUAUACGACAAGGACGGCAACGGCUAUGUAGAUAGGACAGAACUGCGAGCUAUUAUUGAUAGUAUAUAUCGAUUAAAGACGACGUCCAAGAGAGAGCAGGAGGGUAUGCAGCUGUCGGUGAAUGAAGUGUGUGAAAGAAUACUGAAGACUGUGGAUGUGGACAAUGACGGUCACAUCACCCUGGAGGAGUUCAUCAAGGGGGCCCAGGGAGACCCAUGGAUCAUGAACAUGCUCCAACUGGACAUGAACCCUUAUGGCUGGGUGCUGGAACAGAGAAGGAAGAGCGCACACUUUUAAAAUGACUGGAAAGACAAAAGCAUCUUCAUUUAACAUUUUUCUUUAUUUUUUCCCCUUUUUUUUUCUUAAACUAAAUUAGGUUCCAAAUCAAUUGCACAUAAUAGGAAAAAACACAUUGCAGAUUCAUUCAGAUUGUUUAAGCUAUUUUUAAUUAUAAGGACAGGAAUGGUUGUGUCGAUUACCUUCCAUAAAUUCCAUGAGAUGAACAGCUUGUUCAUUCUGAGUGAACCUGCAGUGCAGUUUUUCUUUAUCUAUAGAUGAUUUAAUUGGGGCCUUAAAACAAUGUCAGUUCCACUUUAACUACUUUGCAGAUAUGAAACAAACAGACAAUCAUAAUAUCAAUACAAAAUAUAAAAUUCCCAGAUCAUGCUACAAAACCAACUUAAUAAGAGGUUUUAAAAAUAGGUUCUAUUUCACUCAAAAUUCCAUGACAUACAGUAAGGCAUUGUUGGGAGAAUAGAUGGAUGCAGUUCAAUGCAUGAAUAAUAUAAUUCACCAAUACAGUGCAUUCGGAAAGUAUUCAGACCUUGACUUUUUCCACAUUUUGUUACGUUACAGCCGUAUUCUAAAAUGGAUUAAAUCAUUUUUUUCCCUCAUCAAUCUACACACAAUAACCCAUAAUGACAAAGCAAAAACAGGUUUUUAGAAAUGUUAGCAAAUGUAUUAAAAAUAAAAAAAAAUGAAAUAUAACAUUUACAUAAGUAUUCAGACCUUUACUCAGUACUUUGUUGAAGCACCUUUGGCAGUGAUUACAGCCUUGAGUCUUCUUGGGUAUGACGCUACAAGCUUCGCACACCUGUAUUUGGCAAGUUUCUCCCAUUCUUCUAUGCAGAUCCUCUCAAGCUCUGUCAGGUUGGAAUAAGGAGAAGAGCUGCACAGAUAUUUUCAGGUCUCUCCAGAAAUGUUAGAUUGGGUUCAAGUCUGGGCUCUGACUGGGCCACUCAAGGAAAUUCAGACACUUGUCCCGAAGCCACUCCUGCAUUGUCUUGGCUUUGUGCUUAGGGUCCUUGUCCUGUUGGAAGGUGAACCUUCACCCCAGUCUGAGGUCCUGAGCACUCUGGAAAAGGUGUUCAUCAAGGAUCUCUCUGUACUUUGCUCCGUUCAUCUUUCCUGCAAUCCUGACUAGUCUCCCAGUCCCUGCCGCUGAAAAACAUCCCCACAGCAUGAUGCUGCCACCACCAUGCUUCACCUUAGGGAUGGUGCCAGGUUUCCUCCAGACGUGACGCUUGGCAUUCAGGCUAAAGAGUUCAAUCUUGGUUUCAUCAGACCAGAGAAUCUUGUUUCUCAUGGUCUGAGAGUCCUUUAGGUGCCUUUUGGCAAACUCCAAGCGGGCUGUCAUGUGUCUUUUACUGAGGAGAGGCUUCCAUCUGGCCACUCUACCAUAAAGGCCUGAUUGGUGAAGUGUUGCAGAGAUGGUUGUCUUUCUGGAAGGUUCUCGCAUUGCCACAGAGGAGCUCUGAAGCUCUGUCAGAGUGACCAUCGUGUUCUUUGUCACCUCCCUGACCAAGGCCCUUUUCCCCUGAUUGCUCACUUUGGCUGGGCGGCCAGCUCUAGGAAGAGUCUUUGUGGUUCCAAACUUCUUCCAUAUAAGAAUGAUGGAGAACACUGUGUUCUUGGGGACCAUCAAUGCUGCAGGCAUUUUUUUAUACCCCAGAUCUGUGCAUCGACACAAUCAUGUCUCGGAGCUCUACGGACAAUUCCUUAUAUAGACAGGUGUGUGUCUUUCAAAUCAUGUCCAAUCAAUUGAAUUUACCACAUGUGGGAUCCAAUCAAGUUGUAGAAACAUUUCAAGGAUGAUCAAUGUAAACAGGCUGCACCUGAGCUCAAUUUCGAGUCUUAUAGCAAAGGGUCUGAAUACCUGUUUUCGCUUUGUCAUUAUGGGGUAUUGUGUGUAGAUUGAUGAGGAUUUUUUUUUUAUUUAAUCCAUUUUAGAAUAAGGCUGUAACGAAACAAAAUGUGGAAAAAGUUAAGGGGUCUGAAUAAUUUCAAUAUGCACUGUACAUUUCUUGGUAGUCCAAAAAAUAUUGCUAUCAAGUUGUAAAUCACAGUUGGCCUGGUACAUUGUUUGCUGCCUCCACUUAAAUCGGGAUGCAUUGUUUCAGUUUCAAUCACUCAAUAUUUUGGGACAAAACUGGACGAAUGUAACUAUGGCUGGGAAUGUCAAUACAAUCAAACUUGCAAGGGCAAUGAUCACAAGAUUUUAGCUCAUCUCGCUCUGGCUAGUAUUAGUUGUUUAUCUUGUGGUUGUUGAUGUGCAUAACUGAAGGUGUCAUGCUCUGACCUAGGAGAGCUGUGUUUUCUCUGUUUAGUUAGGUCAGGGUGUGAUAGGAGGGUGGGCAUUCUAUGUUUUGUUUUCUAUGUUUUGGCCGGGUAUGGUUUCCAAUCAGAGGCAGCUGUCUCUCGUUGUCUCUGAUUGGAAGCCAUACUUAGGCAGCCUGUUUUCCCUGUGUUUUUGUGGGAUCUUGUUUUUGUGCAGCUGUGUGUGAGCAGCCCCAGAACGUCACAUUUGUUUCAGUUUCCCCUGUUUAUUGUUUUGUUCAAGUUCACAAAUACAAUAUGUGGAACUACCGGCACGCUGCGCCUUGGCUGAUCUUUGACAGGGAAUUCGAAGACAGCACUCGUGACAGAAGAUCCCACCAAAAGAAAGCCAAGCAGCGUGCGCUCACCAGGAAGACGAGUGGGACCAAGCAGUGUGGUUCAGAGGACUGGACCUGGGAAGAGAUCCUGGAUGGGGCAGGACCUUGGACAAGGCCGGGAGAGUAUCGCCGCCCGCCGGAGGAGAUAGAGGCAGCGAAGGCGGAACGGCGAUACUGGGAAGAACGGCUAAGAGAGCUACAGGAGCCCGAGAGGCAGCGGCAAAAAAAAAAAUUGUGGGGGGGGGGGCACACGGGUAGAUUGGCUAAGGCGGGUGUAAGACCUGAGCCAACUCCCCGUGCUUACCGUGGGGAGCGAGUGACUGUACAAGCACCGUAUUAUGCGGUGGUGCGCACGGUGUUGCCCAUGCGCACUCACAGCCCGGUGCGCUCGGUGCAAGCUCCUCACCGUUGUUGUGCUAAGGUUGGCACUCAGCCAGCUUGGAGUAUGCCAUCAUUCACUUUGAGCUGGACUGUGUGUUUACAGGCAGUAGGGCCUGCCAUCAUUCACUUUGAACUAGACUGUGUGUUAACAGGCAGUAGGACCUGCCAUUCUGAAAUAAUUCAGAAUAGCCUACUACACCAUGAAAAUGCCCUUAAUUUAGCCACAGAGGAUCAACAGCUUCUUUAAAAAAAAUGCCAAGCUGUGGAUUGUGUGUAGCCCAAUAACAAGGCAUGGCCUACAGUCGGGAACGCGCUGCAAAUCUGUCAGUGAACAGUAUGCAGACAAAAUGGGCUUUCUAAAUAUUUCUAAAACAAUUGCGGGAAAACACAGGUUGGAAACCAAAUGUCUCCUGCUAAAAAGAGAAGAAGUCUGCUGUAGCAUAACAAAAUAUUUGAUCAACUUCCAAAUAUUGUUUUACAAAGUAAUCUGACUAUGUCGUAUGGCUGUGGGCUACACUAGUUCAUUUAGCAGACAAGAUUUGCUUAGAAUUCUGAGGCAUUAUUUUAUAUCUGUCAUGACCGUCGUUUAAAUAACUGGACCAAGGCGCAGCGUGAGUAGAGUUCCACAUUUUAUUGCUCGUGAAACUUCAAAAAAUAAAAAAGAUAUAACGAUCGUGCAAAACGUAGCGCACAAAGGCACUCGCACAAAACAUUAUCCCACCAUGCAGGUGAGAAAAGGGACACACUAAGUAUAAUCCCCAAUUAGAGGCAAAGAUAUUCAGCUGCCUACAAUUGGGAACCAUACUCACACACCAACAUAGAACUAUAAUAACUAGAAAAAAAACCUAGUCACGCUCUGACCUAUUACACCAUAGAGAACCCCGAGGGCGCUCUAUGGUCAGGGUGUGACAAUAUCAUUUUAUAGUAUGAAGAAUAUAGUUUAACAUAGCUGAAUAAAAUAUAAAUCAUAUUUUCUCCAAACGAUUUGGGGGAGUGUGGACAUGCAGCAAUUCUGUGUUGAGCAGUUAACAAAGAAACAGCUAUUCCUAUAUGCUUAAUUUAGAGUUAUUUAUGAAACUUUAGUUGUGAUGCAAAUGUUGGGCUAUAUAUAUAUUUUGAUUUUAAUACAUUCUAAGGCUGUAUGGUGCUACUCUCAUUAUGAUUUUUUAAAAGUUGCAUGAAAGGCAUGAGCUCAGCUUUGUUUUUUUGCGCAGGCUGUACAGACUCAUUCACAAUCUGACAAACACUUGAUAAUUCCUCAAAUUUCCUGGCUGCAUCCCCUGUGUGGCCGUAAUGCUCCUUAAAAAAAAUCCAUGCCUUUUGCGGCCAGUAGCCAUUGUGCCCUUGGGCUGAAUAUGAUCAUUAUAAUUCCUAUGGACAGCCAUGUGAGCACCUCUCACUCACGUGGCUGUCCAUCACGUGAUCGGGUCUUUCUCACAGGCUACAAGUGAAGACAGACUCGGGGACGCAACGGCGCACAUCCAUAUCCAGUUCUGAGGUGCAUAUUGGAAGAACUGUCUAAAUUUACUUUUCGUCAGCCAACAAGAUGAGUAGGCCUACCGAACAGCUAAAGUACUAGCCUAUGUCAAUCUACUAUCCCCCAUAAUACAAAAGUUGACCUAUUCUAUUCUGUGCGAGAAAUAAAUAUUCCAAACAUAGUGUCAUGACUAUCUCUAUCUUGGUGAGGAUCACAGGACAACAGAUAGCCCAAACCCCCUCUCUCCCAGAGGAGAGGGGGAGUUGGGCUGGUUUUAGGACUUAAUGACAGGUCGUAAACUUUCUCUCUCUUGCACUGCAGUAUGGAGAAGUUAAAAAUCCUUUCGUUACAACAGAGAGAAACUGUGACACCAAAACUUCAACAUCAAAAGAUUGGACAUUGGAACAUUUGUUUUGAAAUCCAAAUGUUUGGAAUGGUUGGUAAGGAUCCAAACAAUAAUCAUGUCAUCAUUUAUUAUUUUGUGAUGUCAUAAGGAUGGUAUAACAAGAUAACUGUAACUCUAAGAGUGUACACGCCCGAGUUGUCAGGUUUGCAUCUAAAUGUUGUAUAAAAUCAAUGAUUAAAACAUACCUGUCUGAAGAUUUACAGGUGCAAAUACUUAGCUAGUCCCCCCCUUCAUUUUAGAGCCCGUUUAUUACUAUGC
rnacentral:lncRNA from 1 species